AUGUGUGCCAAGCUCGAAGAAUACUGUCACAACUUCGAGUUGGAGACCGAGCGGAUUGAGAGGGAUCUGGAUCCGGCCAGGUCGAUUGUCAGGGACAAGGCCGAUUUGGGCAUUCUCCGACUGGAAGCCCGCCUCAACGAUGCCUUGGGAUAUAUCAUUCGCCCACGUGGCAUGGUGAGCAGGAUCGACAAGGAGAUGUGGCCAGAGGAGAUGCUCCAGAAUGAUCUGGAGACGAUGAUGGCUCUCCUCAACGAAAUCCCCCGUCGAGUACAAAAAUGGAAGAGAUCCGCCGCCCACUGUAGAGUUGGCAUGGCGAUAUCCCUCGUCGUCCUCCACUACAAGGACGCAAACAAGGAGAAGCUGAAGGCUCUCAAGGUUGCCAACACGAAGAAGCUCAAGUUUGAAGAAUUCAUGGAGACAUUCAUCGAGGCCAUUGUCGAGCCCACCAGCCCCUCAGAUGCGUGA
rnacentral:rRNA from 1 species